rnacentral:rRNA from 1 species
GAGUUUGAUCGUGGCUCAGAUUGAACGCUGGCGGCAUGCCUUACACAUGCAAGUCGAACGGCAGCAUGAUCUAGCUUGCUAGAUUGAUGGCGAGUGGCGAACGGGUGAGUAAUACAUCGGAACGUGCCCUGUAGUGGGGGAUAACUAGUCGAAAGAUUAGCUAAUACCGCAUACGACCUGAGGGUGAAAGUGGGGGACCGCAAGGCCUCAUGCUAUAGGAGCGGCCGAUGUCUGAUUAGCUAGUUGGUGGGUAAAGGCCCACCAAGGCGACGAUCA